rnacentral:siRNA from 1 species
UGACUGAAGUAAGGAGAGG